rnacentral:rRNA from 1 species
UACGAAGGGGGCUAGCGUUGUUCGGAAUUACUGGGCGUAAAGCGCACGUAGGCGGCUUUCCAAGUUGGAGGUGAAAUCCCCGGGCUUAACCUGGGAACUGCCUCCAAAACUGGGAAGCUCGAGUCCGAGAGAGGUGAGUGGAAUUUCCAGUGUAGAGGUGAAAUUCGUAGAUAUUGGAAAGAACACCAGUGGCGAAGGCGGCUCACUGGCUCGGUACUGACGCUGAGGUGCGACAGCGUGGGGAGCAAACAGG